AACGAACGCUCGCGGCAGGCCUAACACAUGCAAGUCGAACGCCGUAGCAAUACGGAGUGGCAGACGGGUGAGUAACGCGUGGGAACAUGCCCUUCGGUUCGGAAUAACUCAGGGAAACUUGAGCUAAUACCGAAUACGUCCAAGGAAACUUGGAGAAAGAUUUAUCGCCGGAGGAUUGGCCCGCGUCUGAUUAGCUUGUUGGUGGGGUAAUGGCUCACCAAGGCGACGAUCAGUAGCUGGUCUGAGAGGAUGAUCAGCCACAUUGGGACUGAGACACGGCCCAAACUCCUGCGGGAGGCAGCAGUGGGGAAUAUUGGACAAGGGGCGCAAGCCUGAUCCAGCCAUGCCGCGUGAGUGAUGAAGGCCCUAGGGUUGUAAAGCUCUUUUGCCCGGGAAGAUAAUGACGGUACCGGGAGAAUAAGCCCCGGCUAACUUCGUGCCAGCCGCCGCCGUAAUAC
rnacentral:rRNA from 1 species